rnacentral:lncRNA from 1 species
GGAUCGGGUAGGCUGCGUGUGGGCUCUGGGAGACUGAGAAGGACCCCAGUGUCUGGGGUACUUCACUGUGCUGGGUGGCUGAGGAGCAAUGAAAUCAAGCGGCCAGGGCCCAAGGAGAGGGUAGCUCCAGGGGCUGCUGAGGGGAUCGGGAGGAAGGGCUGAGAGACGGGGUCAGAGCAGAUGGUCACCAGGCCGCACGGAGCCCUGGCGGAGACCCUCUGCCGCUGCCUGGCAGCACAUUCAGGCUCAGAGCCCAAGUGGAAGAAGGAAUGUGGGUGCACUCAGCACAGGCGCAUCGAUUUGGGGGUGGUUGGGGUGCCUCUAAUUCUCUGUCCCAAAUGGCCUCACCUCAGGGAGGGGUCAUGGCUGUGCCUUCAGCAUCUGAUGGGCGUUUCCAGCCUGCCUGGGUGGCCCAGGGGCCAGAGAGUUUGACAGGUUCUCUGGGGAUGGAUUGCUUUUGGUUUCUCAGAGGCAGGACUCUGGUCGGAAUCUUGGCCUCACAACUGCCAAGCCCCGCCCCCCACCCAGGUCACUGUCCUGCGGCAAAGGGGCUGAUGGUCAGGAAUGGAGCGCCUAACAGUGGUGCUGGCUCCUCUGGGCGACUGUGCAAAUCGCCAGGCUUUGUGCUUCAAGACCCUCCCCCAAAUUCCCUCUCUCUUUCCUUUGGGGCCUCGUUUUCCUGUCCCCAAGCCCUGUUUCAGGGAGCAGACUUAAAGGUGGUUCUCGGGAAUUAAAGUAGGGUAAUCGAUUGAAAGGAUGCUCUCAUGGCACAUGUGGGUGGAGAAAACAGAGGGUUGAAGGCAUUACGUUGUGGUGGGGGGUGCGUGCUGGGAGUCUUUGAGAGAAUUCACCCCUCUCUCUGGGCACUUCACUUGGCUUAGAAGGUGAGGAGGAAUUCUAUCAAGCUGGCAGCUGCCCAAGGCCAGGAGAGCCCUGGGGGGCUGCUGAGGGAAACCGGAGGAAAGGCUGAGAGUCAGUGUUAGAGGAGACGGCCUCCGGAAGGGGCCAGAGCACAGACAAAGCCCAUCUGAAGCCCCCUGGCUGCACCUCUAGGCUACGAGGUGGUGCCAAGAGGGGUUAGUGGGAGCCCCAGGAUGUGUUAAGAUGGCUCACAGGGCACCACUGACUCUCUGGCACCAAUCGACUGACCUCAGGGAGCAGAAAGACAUUGCUUUCUGCAUCUGAUGGGUAGUUCCAUCCGGCUCUGGCUGCCCAGGGGCCAGAGAGGUGGACAUGUUCUCUGGGGUUGGUUUGCUCUUAGUUUCUCAGGGGGCAGGGACACUGGACCCACAAUAUCUGCUUGAAUCUUGGCCUCGCAAUUACCAAUCCUGCAGCUUCUGUAAAGUCAUCACAUGUCCAACGGGGCUGGUGGUCAUGAAUGGAGCUUGUGAAAGUGGUGCUAUUUUGAGGGGGCAGACAGGAACCCCUGUGCUUUAUCUUUCAGGAGUUCUCCCCGGAUUCUUUCUUCCCCUUCCAUCUGAACCUCUAUGUCCUGUCUGCAAUCGCUGUUUCAAGGAGCAGAACUAAGGGAAGGGCCUGAGAGGGAAGGCAGCUGGGACUGAUUUAAAGAAGGCUCUCGGUACCCAAUGCGCCCAGAAACACGCUACGGGCUGGGGUGUGACAAUCUCAGAGCCGGAACUCACCCCACACCCUGAAAUCAACAACCCCACUUGCCACCCUCCUUUUAAGUCAGGACAGCAGGCUUUGAAUCAGCAGCCUUCCUCCCCAGGACUCUGCACUGGCCUGGGCCACUUGCCAGCCUGAUGUCCUUGCUCCUCCCCCUCCCAGGUGCACUGAGAUACACUAUGGGCAGGGGUAUGACUCUCACAGUCGGCCAGGACCCUCACCCCACACGACACCACCCCACACCCUGAAAACAAAGACCCUGCUUUCAAUCAGCACCCUCCAGCCUUUUGACCCAGCUUGAAAGCAAGCACCACCCAACAUUUGUUCAUGGUACCUGUUUGUAAGUGUCUUCCUUUAACAGGUGUCUGGCAGAGGAAGAAGAGGCUCAGGUGGGAGGGAAGAAAAAGCUUGAAGAAAUACAACAGUUAUGAGCUCAGCAGGUCCCCCCAAGACCCCUGGUUUGACACAGUGCAUUCACUACCCGAAGGCCAGCUUUCUAGAGCUCAACUCCAUGUGGAACAGACCGGUUGUGGCAAACUGCAUGGCCAAAAAAUAAUCCAUGUAUUUCUGGGUCCAGAGUUGAGCCUCCAAACAAAGGGGACAGUCUGUCAACUCUCUAGCCACUGGGCCAACUGGCCUUUCAGGAAUUGAACCAUAGAUGUGAUGUAAGAAUUAUUUCCCCUCCCUCAGAGGAGGAAAAUUUGGCCAGAGAGUCCGAGGUACCACAUACCAAAACAGAAGGCUCUGGGAACCUCCUUGGGAUGCUAAAGACCCAUCUCCAACCUUGCCUCUCAGCCUGAAGAUGAAGUCUGGGAGCUGCAGGGAGGGGCGCCAACGGUGCUCUGCCGCCAUCCGGUGGCCAUCUGCUCUAACAGCAACUCCCAGCCCUUCCUGUCUCCCACAGCAGAACCCUGGUCUGCAGUGGCCUGGGGACCUUAGCAGUACUGGGGUGUAUUGCGUGCAGAGCAGUACCCACAGCAAGCACACAAGUUUUUCAGUUGUUUCCUGGGCACCAGGGACUCUCUGCUCCCAGAUUCCUCAUGUCAGGCAGAGGACACGUGUCCUUUCAGGAUUUUGAGAUGGAUUCACAACCUGGUUGGGUGGCAGUGUGUUUAGAAUGCUUGAAGGAUCCACUGGGUUUCAGAAUGCCUUGUGUUCCUCCAGAGGCAGGGGCUGAGACCCACGGAGCAUUUGUG